AUGGUACUUCUUCUGUCCAACAAAAGAUGUCUCAAGUUUGUCAAAAUUUGGAUGUAUCUAGAUGUGAUUUAGUGUAUAGAUGCAUUCAAAUUUAGUCAAAGUUGAGACAUCUUUUGUUGGACGGAGGGAGUAUUAU
rnacentral:pre_miRNA from 1 species